CUUCCGGCCCCGCGUCUCCCCCCGCCCCCUCCCAGCGGCGGCGGCGGCGGCAGCGAAGGAGUUCGGAAGUUCAAAAUGGCCGCCGCGGCCGAGCCCGAGCAGCGACCGCCCGAGGUUGAGGAUGCUGAGGCAUCUGAGAAAAGUGUGAAUGAAGAAAAUGGGGAAGUGUCAGAGGCAGACCAACCUCAGAACAAGCACAGCAGACACAAAAAAAAGAAACACAAACACAGAAGUAAACACAAGAAACACAAACAUUCUUCAGAAGAUGACAAGGACAAAAAACAUAAACACAGACACAAACAUAAGAAACAUAAAUGGAAAGAGGUGGCUGAUGCCUCUGACAAAGAAGAUGGACCAGCUAAAAGAACUAAAAUUGAUUUUUUGGCUCCUCUGGAAGACUUAGAGAAACAAAGAGCAUUGCUGAAAGCUGAACUUGAAAAUGAAUUAAUGGAAGGAAAAGUCCAGUCCGGGAUGGGAUUAAUAUUACAAGGUUAUGAGUCAGGAUCUGAAGAAGAGGGGGAGAUUAAUGAAAAAGCACGAAAUGGAACAAGACCUACAGCAAAGUCAAAUACUAAGGGGAAAUUAGAACCUGUGGACAAUAAAACUAGUUCCAAGAAAUCAAGUAAGAGUGAAUCAAAAGAAAGGACUAGGCACAGAUCUGACAAAAAGAAAUCCAAGGCAGGAGUUGAUGGAGUAAAAGAGAAGACUACUAGAAGCAAGUCAAAAGAAAGGAGGAAAUCCAAAAGUCCUUAUAAGAGAAGUAAGUCUCAAGAUCAGACAAGGAAAUCUAGGUCUCCAAUACUUAAGAGGAGAUCUCAGGAGAAAAACAGAAAGUCUAAAUCUCCUCCAGAGGAUAGAAAUAAGGCUGAUGAUAAAAGUAAAUCGAGAGACCGCAGAAAGUCUCCAGUUGUAAAUGAAAGCAAAAGCAGAGAUCGUGGUAGAAAAUCUAAAUCUCCAGCAGAACUAAGAAGCAAAUCCAAAGAUAGAAGAUCACGGUCCAAAGAUAGAAAACCUAGGAGAUCAGAGACUGACAAAGAAAAAAAGCCAAUUAAAUCUCCGUCUAAAGAUGCUUCUUCAGGGAAAGAAAACAGGUCCCCUAGACGGCCUGGCCGCAGCCCAAAGGGGAGAAGCUUAUCUCCCAAGCAGCGUGAGAAGUCCAGAAGGAGCAGAUCCCCUCUCUUUAAUGACCGGAGAUCGAAACAGAGCAGGUCCCCCUCUCGAACCCGCUCUCCGGUUAGAAGAGUGAGGAGCAGAUCAGCAGAAAGAAAAAGGAGAGAAUCAGAAAGGAGGCGUCUUUCUUCUCCCAGAACACGGACCAGGGAUGACAUUUUGUCCAGGCGUGAAAGAUCCAAGGAUGUCAGCCCACCCAGCAGAUGGUCCCCGUCCAGGAGAAGAUCUCGGUCCCCCAUUAGGAGGAGGUCUCGAACGCCCCUUCGGCGCAGCCGAUCUCCCAGGCGGCGCAGCAGAUCUCCUCGGAGGAGGGAUAGAGGCCGGAGAAGUAGAUCUCGCCUUCGAAGGAGGUCCAGGUCACGUGGUGGCCACAGACGUCGGAGCAGAAGCAAGGUUAAAGAAGACAAAUUUAAAGGUAGUCUUUCUGAGGGCAUGAAAGUUGAACAGGAGUCUUCAUCUGAUGAAAAUCUUGAAGACUUUGAUUUGGAAGAAGAGGAUGAAGAAGCAGAGAUAAGACAAAGGAGAUUACAACGACAAGCAAUUGUUCAGAAAUACAAAGGCCAGGCAGAAGACAGUAACAUAUCUGUACCAUCUGAGCCGAGCAGCCCUCAGAGCAGCACGCGCAGUCGCUCCAAUUCUCCUGACGACAUCCUAGAAAGAGUCGCUGCUGAUGUUAAGGAGUACGAACGGGAAAAUGUGGACACAUUUGAGGCAUCAGUGAAAGCCAAGCACAACCUCAUGACAGUUGAACAGAACAAUGGUUCAUCUCAGAAGAAGCUGCUAGCUCCCGAUAUGUUCACAGAAUCAGAUGAUAUGUUUGCUGCAUACUUUGAUAGUGCUCGUCUAAGGGCUGCUGGGUUUGGAAAAGACUUCAAAGAAAACCCCAAUCUCAGGGAUAACUGGACAGAUGCAGAAGGCUAUUACCGUGUUAAUAUAGGUGAAGUUCUAGAUAAACGUUACAAUGUCUAUGGUUACACUGGUCAGGGAGUCUUCAGCAAUGUGGUGCGAGCCAGGGACAUGGCCAGAGCAAACCAAGAAGUAGCAGUGAAAAUCAUCAGGAACAAUGAACUUAUGCAAAAAACUGGCCUAAAAGAACUGGAAUUUUUAAAGAAGCUCAAUGAUGCUGAUCCUGAUGACAAGUUUCAUUGUCUACGGUUGUUCAGGCAUUUCUACCACAAACAACAUCUCUGUCUGGUAUUUGAGCCACUCAGUAUGAAUUUACGAGAGGUGUUGAAGAAGUACGGGAAAGAUGUUGGGCUGCACAUUAAAGCUGUGCGUUCCUACAGCCAGCAGUUGUUCCUGGCCUUAAAACUUCUUAAAAGAUGCAAUAUCCUACAUGCAGAUAUUAAACCAGAUAAUAUUUUGGUGAACGAGUCUAAAACGAUACUAAAGCUUUGUGAUUUUGGCUCAGCUUCACAUGUUGCAGAUAAUGACAUCACACCUUAUCUAGUUAGUAGAUUUUAUCGAGCUCCAGAAAUCAUUAUAGGAAAAAUCUAUGACUAUGGUAUAGAUAUGUGGUCUGUAGGCUGCACAUUAUAUGAGCUUUAUACAGGAAAAAUACUGUUUCCUGGCAAAACCAAUAAUCAUAUGUUGAAACUUGCCAUGGAUCUCAAAGGAAAGAUGCCAAACAAGAUGAUUCGAAAAGGUGUGUUCAAAGAUCAGCACUUUGAUCAAAAUCUCAACUUUAUGUAUAUAGAAGUAGAUAAAGUGACAGAAAGGGAGAAGGUAACUGUUAUGAGCACCAUUAAUCCAACCAAGGACCUAUUAGCAGACUUGAUUGGGUGCCAACGACUCCCUGAAGACCAGCGUAAAAAAGUGCACCAGCUGAAGGACUUGUUGGACCAGAUUCUAAUGCUAGACCCAGCUAAACGGAUUAGCAUCAACCAGGCUCUGCAGCACGCCUUCAUCCAGGAGAAAAUUUAAACCAGAUGAAGAAGUUCAAAGGGUUUGAUUAAUUAAGAUACAAAGACUGAAGAAAUUUCACAGCAGUUAUUAAUGUAUAUAAACAUAAAUAUUUCCCCUGCAAAGUUGAGGAAGAAAUGAUACAUUUGAAUUAACAUCAAGGCCGAUAUUUCUUUUAGAAAUGUUAGAGUAAUUCUGUUUUGUGUCUUAUGUGAAAAUUUUCACUGUAGAACUGUUUUAAUUGCCAAGACUGCACAAAAGUACAAUGCUAAUGUAUAUGGUUGCAGUUCGUAUAUAUUAUAAAAAGAAAAAAGCAUCUGUUAUAAAAAAAAAGAAAGAAAAAAAAAAGAGAGCAGUAAUACUGGGUGGUUGAUUUGUUUUUAGCAGACUUGGCUUCAUUUUUGUCUUUACAAAAUGGCCAGCAUAAAUGCUGUUUAUAUUCACAUUUUCCUAGGUGUGUGUGUGCAGGCCACAGCAGCAUGCCCUUGGUGUAGUCAGUGCCGAAGGGGGUCUGUUCCUUCUUGAGCCUGCCCGCAGGGAUGGUCUCCUCUUUUAAAGCAGGUUGUGUACAACUUUCAGUACACUGAAGGUAAGCUAACCCAUCAACAUCACCGGUGUUUAAGCUGUUAUUUUACUGGAACAACUGACAAAUGAGAGACAAUAGCAUUGUGGCAGAAUUCCCUGCAUGUUUGAGAAAUGAUCUUGUUUUAUUUUCUGGCAUUGCAACCGUGGCAUAGUUACAACUUCUGUUCUGUUCAUCACAUUUAAAACUGGGAGAGAGCGCACUUGAUGGAUAGAGCGCCUUCAGUGUACUGUUUCUUAUUACUUUAGUUUUUUUAAUCAACUUGCUAUAGACUUUGUAUACAUUUUGUUAAAUACAGUUCACUAUGACAUAGAACCAAUACUUACAGAAGAGUUUUCAUUUAGUAAUUACAUAUGUUGGGAUCUCAUUCGAAAGACCUUAUAUCUAAAGGAUAGAUAGACAACAUAAUUUUUAACUAUUUGUAUGUCAUUUUGAAAGUGUACUGCUUUAUGCUAAAAGUGUUUCAUUUGUUCAUUGUUUUCAUUAUUUGUGAUCAUGUUGUCUUUCAAUACAGGCAUAAACCUUCCACUCUUGAACAAAGCAGCUGCUUUUUAAAAGCGAGAAAAAAGGAAAGCGAGUCACAGGCCACUCAACGCCUACUCCAUGGGUCUGAUUUGCUGAGACACCAACUUCACCUUCCUAACAAGGUGCAGCUCAAAAGAAGAUGAAGGCUACCAGAAGACAUGAACAAAGGUUUCUGUCCUAUAAAAGAUAUGAAAAAUACUCUUCAUCUAGUUCUGUCUUAAUCUUUUAGUUUCCAGCAUUUCAAUUUAGAAUUGAUUAACACUGCUGCAUUACUGAUAAUUCCUGAAACAUACUUGCUGUAUUAAAAUUUACUACAUAGAUUGUUUUGUUUCUGGUUGAAGAGAUUUUUAUUGCAAUUAAAUGCAGGUAAACUAGCAUUACUCUUUAAAUGUUGUUUUCAUAAAGUGAUAGAAUGAGCAGUACAAAAUCUAUUAUAUUUAGGAAAAAAACAGGCCAUUAUAUUUGGUUAAUGUAAAUGUGUUAACCAGAAAACAUUUAAGCAGGUGAUGUGCUUUUUUUCUUUAACUUCAGUAGUUUCAUUAUUUAUUUCAAUUCUGUCAAACUUAAUUAUCCACACAGAGAAUAGCUGGCAGGGGUUAUUUAGAAAACAAGUGGAUUUCAGUCCCCCAUCCAGCUGAUACUUCUCUUGUUGACAGCAGUAGAAAACUUUAGUUCUGGCUUCAAAAACCUCUGGGCUUGAGGAUUUUUUGACACGGUUAAGACCCCUCUCCAGUUUUGGGCAGUGCCUGUCCCUGUAGCCUGAGGUCUCUGAGUAGCUGUGGCUGCCCCUACAGGCAGCUGAAUUCAUGGAUGUGGCUGGGUGCAAAGAGAACAGCUGUGCAACAGAGGUGAACAAUUUCUUAGCUUAUCUAAUAGGGAGGAUAACUUAUCUUUUCCUCCUGAGCACAAAUUUUUAAUUUAUGUCUUUGCUAGAGGUCCUACCUAUAGAAGGUUUGGCUAAAUCUACUGUGCUGAUUUCUGUUUCCUUCUCCCUCAUGGUGACAAGGAGCUUCACAUUUAACAGACUCAGUUUUCCAAGCCUUCCAAAAAAACAAGAUUCCAGCCCUGUGGAGUUAGAAUAUGUUUUUAUUACCUUGGUGUAUACUACUUAGUUUAAAAAUUAAUUACUGUUCAAGAGUUUUUAAUAGAAGAUAAUGAUUCCUGUAAAACCUUUUUAAUAAUACUUUAUCUCCAUACAUAGGGUAAGUGGCACUAAACAUCUGAAGAAUCUUUAUGUGUAUAUUGACCCCCAUACAGAAGGCAGACCAGACUGUGAUACUGCUGGAGAUAGAGGGAUCUUCUACAGCAUGUGUAAAAUUGUAAUGUGGGUGGAGGAUGUUGAGAAGCGGCAAUUGCUUGAAAUUAAUAAACUGUGCUUAAAACUUGCCUUCA